CGGAGUUGGUAGAGGCCCGCGAUUUGACGAGUGGCGGUGGUUCUAUGUGGUCAGUUUGCAACUGUCUCUUGCUGAAGCACAAGGGAUGCAGGUUUGGAGCCAUCCAGUGUGUGAGCUGGAACAUUUGGAAAAGCAGCCAGUGCUCUUGAUCCCUGAACCAUCUCCCUAAACCCCAGAAUCUGUAUUUUUGAAAGAUGUUCUCAGGAAAGCUGUGCUUCCUGAAGGUUAUAUAGUCUUCCCAGGUACUACCACCAUUUAGAAACCAAAUGCUUAAUGGCACUGAGUCAAGAAAUGACAAACACCUUCAAGAAGGCAGAAAAAUCUUCUGGAUAACUGAAUCAACCCAAAGUAGAAUCACAAUGGAGGCUCUUCACACAACUAAAAACGAUUCUAACCUAUGGCCCAGGU